GACGAACGCUGGCGGCGUGCCUAAUACAUGCAAGUCGAGCGAAGCGGCGGAUGGGUGAGUAACGCGUGGGUAACCUGCGCGUAAGUCUGGGAUACCAUAUGGAAACAGAUGCUAAUACCGGAUACUAAAGGAUGGACCUGCGAUGCAUUAGCUAGGUGGUAAGGUAACGGCUUACCAAGGGGAUGAUGCAUAGCCUAGUGUAGAGACUGAGCGGCCACAUUGGGGCGGAGACACGGCCCAAACUCCUACGGGAGGCAGCAGUAGGGAAUCUUCCACAGUGGACGAAAGGCUGAUGUAGCAACUCCGCGUGAGUGAAGAGAGUUUUCGGAUCGUAAAGCUCUGUUGUUGUUGUAGCUGUAAUCAACCAGAAAGUCACGGCUAACUACGUGCCAGCAGCCGCGGUAAUUC
rnacentral:rRNA from 1 species